rnacentral:rRNA from 1 species
UAGUCCACGCCGUAAACGAUGGAUACUAGCUGUCCGCUGCCUUGAGCAGUGGGCGGCCAAGCGAAAGUGAUAAGUAUCUCACCUGGGGAGUACGUUCGCAAGAAUGAAACUCAAAGGAAUUGACGGGGGCCCGCACAAGCGGUGGAGCAUGUGGUUUAAUUCGAUGAUACGCGAGGAACCUUACCAGGGCUUAAAUGCAUAUUGACAGGCUGAGAGAUCGGUUUUCCUUCGGGCAAUUUGCAAGGUGCUACAUGGUUGUCGUCAGCUCGUGCCGUGAGGUGUCAGGUUAAGUCCUAUAACGAGCGCAACCCCUGUCGUUAGUUGCCAGCGAGUCAUGUCGGGGACUCUAACGAGACUGCCGGUGCAAACCGUGAGGAAGGUGGGGAUGACGUCAAAUCAUCACGGCCCUUACGUCCUGGGCCACACACGUGCUACAAUGGUAGGUACAGAGAGCAGCCAUGUCGCAAGGCAGAGCGAAUCUACAAAACCUAUA